GUGGGUGUAGUCACAACCAGGUAAAGACAUAAAGAGCCAGUGCCAUUUCCUGAUCUGUGGAGUGACAGGCCCCUAAAGAACAUCCCAGCCUCCCCUUUCUGUGUUUCUUCCUGGGGUCCUCUCCUUCCUUGGCUCCACUCCUCCAGUCCCUCAGACCUCAACAGGAUAUUGAAGCCUGCCCAUAUGGGCAUGCACUCAUUAAAUGUUUCCUUCUGACUCCAUUCCUGGCCUGACAGAGGAAGAAGAAGAGACCCAUAAGAUUGGCAGUCUGGCUGAGAACGCAUUCUCAGACCCUGCAGGCAGUGCCAACCCUUUGGAACCCAGCCAGGAUGAGAAGAGCAUCCCCUUGAUCUGGGGUGCUGUGCUCCUGGUAGGUCUGCUGGUGGCAGCGGUGGUGCUGUUUGCUGUGAUGGCCAAGAGGAAACAAGGGAACAGGCUUGGUGUCUGUGGCCGAUUCCUGAGCAGCAGAGUUUCAGGCAUGAAUCCCUCCUCAGUGGUCCACCACGUCAGUGACUCUGGACUGGCUGCUGAAUUGCCUUUGGAUGUACCACACAUUAGGCUUGACUCACCACCUUCAUUUGACAAUACCACCUACA
rnacentral:sRNA from 1 species